rnacentral:lncRNA from 1 species
CACAGUUCCUGGCCAGACAGCUGCUUCCCAGUGACAAAUCUACUUAUAUCAAAAGAGUGAAAUCAUCCAGAAUAGAGUGAAUUUGGGCUUCAGAGAGGCUGUUUAGGAUUCAGAGCUCUACCAACAUGAGCAAUCUGUUGGCAUGACAGGUCAGAGAAGCCGUGAAGGACAUGGACGGAAGUAGAUGGAACUGGAAACAGGAGGCCAACCCCAUCAGUCAGUGAUGCUCAGAAAAAACAAAGACACUGAAAUUUGAGGACUUAAUGGAGUUUGGUGCCUUCACUUAGCUGAUGUCUACGAAGCCUGACCAGUCUACUUCUAGUCUAUAAGAUCAUGUGGAAUCUUCAGUGACAAACUUCUACUUUACUAAUGAUUUUAUGAUCCUGUUACCCAUUGUAAUUGCUUAAAUGGUAUUUUAAUUAGCUGCUUUAAAUGACUUUGCUUUUUUACGAAAAGCAGUGUGUGCUUUAGUUUAAAAUAUGGGUCACUGGUGUUUCUUUCUAGAAGAUGACUGUGUUUAGUACCAGGGAAAAUUGGGUAUGUAUUUGGAGAGGUUUUAACUUCUGUAACUGAGGUUGAUUUCUGGAAUGUGAAUGUUUCCAUACUUUCAUGGAUGCAGCAAAUUUAUAUAAAGGGUUAUUAAAUUUGUUCUGGUUUUUAAA